rnacentral:lncRNA from 1 species
AUGUUGAGGACACACAGAAUAUUGAAGGAUCAACUCUACUUAUUCCAAAUACACUUUAAUAUUUUGAGUGCCAGACCAGAGUUCGAGAAAUAACUGCGGUAGAAUGAUAAUGAGAAGUUUAACAGUUUUAUGAUGGUUGAAGCUGACUUUAUGAAAGUUGAUAAAUUUCAUCUUGUAGGUUUCAAUUUCUCAUUCCCUACCGAGAGAUGGAGAGAAUACAUUGAUACUGCAUUUCAAAUUGGCUAGAUCAGAAGGAACAGCAGCUAAAAUCCAUUACAACCCAAUUACAUCCAUCAGCUGAAGCUGUGUGCAUUCACUCGUGAACAUCAGCAUUUAAUCCAUAAAGAGGAACUAAUGAGAAAUUUGAAAAUGGAAUCCACGCAUCAUUUUAGUGCCCUGAGCAGCAGGAAAGUGAUGGAAACUGAAGAAGAGACUAGGCCUUGCACAUUCCCUGCCUCUGGAAAGGGCACACCUGCCACACAGCUCUUUAAAGACUGGACUGCCAUUGGGAAAGAAAUCUGGCUGGGGCCUGGCCAGCAGGUGGCAGUACUAAGCAAGACAAGAUGUGGAGAGACUGAUCCUAUCAGGGAAUCAGUCUCUAUCAUCACGAAACUCAAGGUAUGA